GAACGGACGUCAGGCCGUCCUACAGAGGCGUUUCAGCGGAAAUACGAAAAUUUCCAACCCGCUAACGACUCGAAACCAAAGCCUUGAAACAUGAGCCGCGACCACUUCGGUGAGCGCGAGAUGCCAACCCGCUCCGGAUACUGCGAGCGGCGCCCGAUUCUUAAGGAACAUGUGUAGGGUGGAGAUGUACGGCUGUUGGACUGCGUAGCUUCUAGCUUGAUCCAGACGCAUUUUUCGUCCGCCUCCGACAGCCGAUUCCUCCUCCUGACUCAAGUGCUUCUGAAACACAGGAAGCAGGAGACGUAGUCGCGGACCGGCACCCAGUGCCGAGCGCCGCUGGACACGGGAAUGGCCCGCCAUUCCUGAAUACGCGCCCGAGCACCGACCGUGAGAGUCGUGUGUGCCGAUCGCCGUUUCCGGUAGCCCCGGAAACCAUUGGUACUACAUGAAA
rnacentral:sRNA from 1 species